rnacentral:rRNA from 1 species
CGAGCCUGAUGGAGCACGCCGCGUGUGUGAUGAAGGCUUUCGGGUCGUAAAGCACUGUUGUAUGGGAAGAACAGCUAGAAUAGGAAAUGAUUUUAGUUUGACGGUACCAUACCAGAAAGGGACGGCUAAAUACGUGCCAGCAGCCGCGGUAAUACGUAUGUCCCGAGCGUUAUCCGGAUUUAUUGGGCGUAAAGCGAGCGCAGACGGUUUAUUAAGUCUGAUGUGAAAGCCCGGAGCUCAACUCCGGAAUGGCAUUGGAAACUGGUUAACUUGAGUGCAGUAGAGGUAAGUGGAACUCCAUGUGUAGCGGUGGAAUGCGUAGAUAUAUGGAAGAACACCAGUGGCGAAGGCGGCUUACUGGACUGCAACUGACGUUGAGGCUCGAAAGUGUGGGUAGCAAACAGGAUUAGAUACCCUGGUAGUCCACACCGUAAACGAUGAACACUAGGUGUUAGGAGGUUUCCGCCUCUUAGUGCCGAAGCUAACGCAUUAAGUGUUCCGCCUGGGGAGUACGACCGCAAGGUUGAAACUCAGAGGAAUUGACGGGGACCCGCACAAGCGGUGGAGCAUGUGGUUUAAUUCGAAGCAACGCGCAGA